ensembl:processed_transcript
CUAAAGUAUGUACAUGUUUGUGUAUUUGGUGAAAAUAUGCUUAACAUGUUUUUUUGCUGAAUACAUCUUCUCUGUACUCCAGAGUGCGCCUGAGCAGUUUACGCUGGAGGAGAUUCCCAUCACCGAGUCAAAGGUCAGCAUGGACGUCAACUUUUCCGGCUCGUCUCCUGCAAAGAGAGUCAACUCAAAGAUUCCUCUCUGUUCAAAGCUCCAUGGACUC